AUUGAACGCUGGCGGCAGGCCUAACACAUGCAAGUCGAGCGGAUGAAGGGAGCUUGCUCCUGGAUUCAGCGGCGGACGGGUGAGUAAUGCCUAGGAAUCUGCCUGGUAGUGGGGGAUAACGUCCGGAAACGGGCGCUAAUACCGCAUACGUCCUGAGGGAGAAAGUGGGGGAUCUUCGGACCUCACGCUAUCAGAUGAGCCUAGGUCGGAUUAGCUAGUUGGUGGGGUAAAGGCCUACCAAGGCGACGAUCCGUAACUGGUCUGAGAGGAUGAUCAGUCACACUGGAACUGAGACACGGUCCAGACUCCUACGGGAGGCAGCAGUGGGGAAUAUUGGACAAUGGGCGAAAGCCUGAUUCAGCCAUGCCGCGUGUGUGAAGAAGGUCUUCGGAUUGUAAAGCACUUUGAGUUGGGAGGAAGGGCAGUAAGUUAAUACCUUGCUGUUUUGACGUUACCAACAGAAUAAGCACCGGCUAACUUCGUG
rnacentral:rRNA from 1 species